rnacentral:rRNA from 1 species
AACGAACGCUGGCGGCAUGCCAAAUACAUGCAAGUCGAACGAGCCCUUCGGGGCUAGUGGCGCACGGGUGCGUAACGCGUGGGAAUCUGCCCUUGGGUUCGGAAUAACGUUUGGAAACGAACGCUAAUACCGGAUGAUGUCGUAAGACCAAAGAUUUAUCGCCCAAGGAUGAGCCCGCGUAGGAUUAGCUAGUUGGUGGGGUAAAGGCCCACCAAGGCGACGAUCCUUAGCUGGUCUGAGAGGAUGAUCAGCCACACUGGGACUGAGACACGGCCCAGACUCCUACGGGAGGCAGCAGUAGGGAAUAUUGGACAAUGGGGGCAACCCUGAUCCAGCAAUGCCGCGUGAGUGAUGAAGGCCUUAGGGUUGUAAAGCUCUUUUACCCGGGAUGAUAAUGACAGUACCGGGAGAAUAAGCCCCGGCUAACUCCGUGCCAGCCGCCGCCGUAAUAC